UACGUAGGGGGCAAGCGUUGUCCGGAUUUAUUGGGUUUAAAGGGUGCGUAGGCGGUCUUCUAAGUCAGUGCUGAAAUAUCCCGGCUUAACCGGGAGGGUGGCAUUGAUACUGGGAGACUUGAGUAAAGUUGAGGUAGGCGGAAUUGACGGUGUAGCGGUGAAAUGCUUAGAUAUCGUCAAGAACACCAAUAGUGAAGACAGCUUACUAAACUUUAACUGACGCUGAGGCACGAAAGUGUGGGGAUCAAACAGG
rnacentral:rRNA from 1 species